rnacentral:rRNA from 1 species
UAGUCCACGCCGUAAACGUUGGGUACUAGGUGUUGGGCCGCAAGGUUCAGUGCCGAAGCUAACGCAUUAAGUACCCCGCCUGGGGAGUACGGUCGCAAGACUGAAACUCAAAGGAAUUGACGGGGGCCCGCACCAGCGGUGGAACAUGUGGUUUAAUUCGAUGCAACGCGAAGAACCUUACCUGGGCUUGACAUACAUAUGAGGUAUGUAAGAAAUUAUGUAUAUCUGCUGCUUGCAGUAGACAUAUGUACAGGUGAUGCAUGGCUGUCGUCAGCUCGUGUCGUGAGAUGUAGGGUUAAGUCCCUUAACGAGCGCAACCCUUGCUUUUAGUUGCCAUCAGGUAAUGCUGGGGACUCUAGAAGGACUGCCGAGGUUAACUCGGAGGAAGGUGGGGAUGACGUCAAGUCAGUAUGUCCCUUAUGCCCAGGGCUACACACGUGUUACAAUGGCCGGUACAGAGUGCAGCAAGACCGUGAGGUGGAGCAAAUCACUUAAAGCCGGU